GACAAUAUGGUUGUUACCUGCUCUGAGCACUGCUCCCCAUCUCAGCACAGGUUUCAGCAGAAUCCCUACUGCAAGACUGUGAGAAUCAUCUCCAAAUGCUUGGUGUGAAACCACUGGAGCACAGAGGUUUUCUACAGCCACUGAAGAGAGUCAGCUUCACAAGGCAACUCAGAGCCCCUAAGUAACCCUCUGUGUCCGAUCCCCUCUCUCGGAUAUGACUCUGAAAAGAACUCCAAUAGCAGUGGAAAGAGGCUUUCUCUUCAAUUAAUACAGAAAAAGCAAGAAAGUCAAGCAAAGAAAAGCCUUUGAAAAUGGACUACUUUGCCAACGAUCGAACCAGGAGGGAGGAGCAAGAGGAUACAUCAGUGAUGGAGGAGUUAUUAUCUAAGCAGGGUGUACAACAUAUAAAGCAUAUUGUGCAA